AUUGAACGCUGGCGGCAUGCUUUACACAUGCAAGUCGAACGGCAGCACGGACUUCGGUCUGGUGGCGAGUGGCGAACGGGUGAGUAAUACAUCGGAACGUGCCCAGUUGUGGGGGAUAACUACUCGAAAGAGUAGCUAAUACCGCAUGAGAACUGAGGUUGAAAGCAGGGGAUCGUAAGACCUUGCGCAACUGGAGCGGCCGAUGGCAGAUUAGGUAGUUGGUGGGAUAAAAGCUUACCAAGCCGACGAUCUGUAGCUGGUCUGAGAGGACGACCAGCCACACUGGGACUGAGACACGGCCCAGACUCCUACGGGAGGCAGCAGUGGGGAAUUUUGGACAAUGGGCGAAAGCCUGAUCCAGCAAUGCCGCGUGCAGGAUGAAGGCCUUCGGGUUGUAAACUGCUUUUGUACGGAACGAAAAGCUUCGGGUUAAUACCCUGGAGUCAUGACGGUACCGUAAGAAUAAGCACCGGCUAACUACGUGCCAGCCGCCGCGGUAA
rnacentral:rRNA from 1 species